rnacentral:lncRNA from 1 species
AAUACUAGUACCAAGUAGCUAUGCUUAUGUUUUUGCAAGAUUUCCAUCGGUCAUUAACUUGAUUUUCUUAUUUUUCAAUAGAAAUAUCAUACGAUCUCCGUAAAUGAAUAGUAUGGAUUAUAGGAUGAAUUACAAAUGUUUGCCUGGUUGACAAUUAUUGUUUGCAGAGGACAAGGCAAAGGAACCCGAACAAUAUGGAGGUCGGUGUCGUUAUGGCUGCUGUGGUCGUCGGGGCCCCUAUGGUUGUAGUAAGUGCUGCAGAACAGGUAAUAGUUGCACCAUUCAAAGAAACAGGAUUUAAAUGCGUGAACAGUAUUUGUAACUUAAAAAGUUGUGUUGUCCAUGUAGCUAAUGAAGCUGAAGCAACCCAAGUAAACGCUGACAUCAAUGGCAAUGAAGGCGGUGGACAUGGUGGUGGCGGCGGCUAUGGAGGUGGUGGCGGCGGACAUGGUGGUGGCGGCGGCUAUGGAGGUGGUGGUGGUGGCAGCGGAGGUGGUCAUGGUGGGGGAGGUGGUCAUGGUGGUGGAGGUGGAUAUGGUGGGCACUGCAGGUACGGCUGUUGUGGUGGCUAUGGCAAAUAUUGCAGGUGCUGCUACAACCCUGAAGAAGCUCAAGCUUUUGUACAAAAUGAGAACUGAGCCAAGCCAUAAAUCAAGGAAACUUCCAUGUACAAGUUUGCGUGAAUAACUACAUGGUUGAAUGUUGAUCUUAUGACAAAAAUAAAAUACUUAGUACAUGUGCUUCUGUGCUUAGCACAUAUGUAAGGAAUAAAAAGUUUCAGUCAUCAUUUGAUGAUGUGAAUUUCAACAAGUGUCCUUCAAUCCCAUGCCUGGAUUUUUUUUUUUUUUUUUUUUUUUAAAUUUGACAUCUGCUACUUGUCAUGUUUGUCUUUGCUCUUAACAUUUGCACUUGAAUGCUCCAGUCAAAAUUUAAGUAAAUUUGUGAAAUAAAUAAAAAUAGCAACACCAGACCAAUCAUUCAUGAUAGAAGUAGGAAGUAGGAAGCCAGAGAGAUAAUUGGAAAGUACACUCGAUUAAAGAAAAAACAACGAAAGCCACAUAAAAUCAGAAAAAAAAAAUUAAAUCGAGUGUAAUUGGCAGGGUACGUAUUCAUGCCACUGAUGGAGGCAAUGUAGUUGCAGGAAUUGCUGGCUUUGUGGGCUAUGACCAUAUAGAGUUGUAAGUAAUUUCUCACAGUAAAUGUUCUGCUUGUUCGUGGAAACAAGAGAACUAAAGCAUCAUCAGGUUUGACAAAUGCAAGUGCACAUCUUUGGACUUGGGAGUUGGGAGGACUCGGGAGCUAAUACCUACAUAGAAAAUGGGCGAUGGAUGAAGAAAGGUGCUACAGACUUUUUAUGUCCUCCAAUGUGGGUGGCAGAAUACACUUUCCUUGAAGUUGAUCAGCGAGAUUACUUUUGUGAUUGCUGAAAUUCAUGACAAAACGGUUCAACAUCUUCAAUCACAAAUUCGUCGAACUGCAAUUAUAAUCUCAUUGGACCAAACUCGAGUAAGCAAAUCAAAUCAAAUCGCUAAUGUCACUUCUUCCAAGUAGCGCUGACAUUCUAAGAUUGACAAGGAAAUGCAGGCUUUGACUCAUCAUUUACUUAAAGCAGGAUACAACAGCAAAAGAAAUCCAGAAGCAAAGAAUAUGAAACUAACCUGAAAACAAAGAUUUAGUAUUUCACAUUUAGAACAGUUACACGCAAAUCAAAAACAUUUUUGCUGCAUUGGGUCGGUGAACAUCCGUACAAGCAUGUGUUACAACAAGAUGUAUACAGUCUCAGGAGUCAUGCUACUAAAGUUUGAUGCCCGAUGCUCUCAGAAGAUAAAAUGGAACUCAGACACGUCGCUGAAGACUGGAGAGUCACUCAUCACUCAAAUGGUGGUCUUCUUAGACAAAGAAAUACCAUUAUCACAGCUGUUUAAGUAAAAUCCAACAGUCAAAGGCAACCAAAAAUAGUUAAAAUGAGGCAUAAAACAAAUAGAUUUCACAUCAGACUUCAACGACACUACUUGUAAGCUUGCAUUUCUGCAAAAGUGACUUAAGAAAGGGUGCCGGAUGAUAUGUUUGAGAAACCAAAGAUUGCAUUAGUUAAAUCCGCAUUUAAAUGCACAUUAUAUACUUAGCCAGUCGUAUUGACCAUCCCAAUUAGUCACGAGAAUCAUACAACUCAAGGCUGAUUAUCAAAUCAAAAGGAGUGGUUUGAAAACACAAAAUUUGGAAAAGAUGGCCAAUGGAAAUGUGGUUACAAGUACGAUUGAAUAUGAGAAACAUAACAAACUUGAUAGAUCUUCCUGCUGAAGUUAUUUGCUUUUCUUUUAAUUAGUUCAUAAAAUGUUAUUCGACUAUAAUAGUCAGCAGAAAGACAUCCAGAAAUUUUCUCACUCCAUAAUUGAAUUUAAGAAAAGAAAUUUAUACUAUAAGUUAAGUCUAUGCCAAUGAACAAGUUGCACAAAAUUAGUCCUUAAAUAACUGAAACACGGCAAGAUAUAUUUAUGAAAUACACCAUACUUGCAAGUAAGCUUAGUCAAUUUAAACAAGAAGAAGCAUCAGAUAAAUAAGAUCGUUUAAUAGUAAGAGGCAAAGGAAAGAAUAUUACCCAUGAUGCGAGCCUUAAGGGUGAUGAGGUUGCAGUCUCUUCAGAAAAAAGGGUCAUACUAAAGAACCAGAAGAGUUCUUAAGCCUUGUCUUAGCGCUUGAAAAAAACAAUAUCUCUGCCGCAGCUAACUUUGAUAGCUUCCUCCAAACUCUCCAUCUGAUCAAAAUCAACUUUGAAGGUUACCAUGGUAACACCAUCUUUUCCAGUGUCAUAAUCUUGCUUAAUGUCUUCAGCCCGAAAUGAUUGUAGCUGCAAGAUACACAAAUGGUGUAUUUGUGAGACAACUGUUUACGAUGUUGAGAUGCACUAAUCACAACCUCAUCAAACAAGUCAAUGCAUUGAUGACAUUUAGCAAACUGGUAAUAUAUGAAAAACUGACGUAUGCUCCACAUGUCAAAAUGACAAUCAAAACAUGAUUUGUCAUGACAAUAUUUGACAGUUAAUUAGCCAGCAACACAACCAGAAGAGAACUUAUAAAUCCUCUGAAUCUUACCUGAUGGUAGAGAACCCCCAAAAGGUCAUAUGGAAUCUCCAAGCCCAUUGGAACCUACAAAUCAAGAUCCUUGUCACAAUAUUUAAUUCAUGAAGCAGAUUUCAAUGUGCAAAGUACGAAGUGGAAAAGAAACUUAUAGAAUUAGACUACUAUUGAUUCAAUAGGCACAAGUUUUAGAGAAUGUAAAAGCCAGCAAGGAUGAGUUGUUACUUUGGACUUGACAAGACAAGUGGGGGCAUUUCUCAAACAAUCAGCAGCAACCCCUCCAUAAGCCCUGACUAAACCUCCGGUGCCAAGUUUAAUACCUCCGAAGUACCUAAAUUAUGAAAUGCAAAAAGAUGAACAUCUUGAAUAGCUUCUCUCCCUAGAUAGAAAAGCCAAAUAACAGACUAAUGGAUGUCAAAAACUUAAUGCAUGUAUCAAAAAAUGAAAAUUGUUACGUAAAAACAACACUCUCUACAUUUCAUUCACAAAAGAAACAUUUGAAUCAGAGCCAAAGGGAAAAAAGCAAUAGCAUGGCCCCAAAAAAUGUGCAACAUUUGUCUACCUGAUCACGACUACCAUAACUCUAUCAAUCCCAGAAGAUUCAAUUGCAGAAAGUAUUGGCUUGCCUGCUGUACCAGAUGGUUCACCGUCAUCAUUACUCCGAAACUGAUCCCCAACCUAGAAUUCACAAAUAACUGCAUUUGCGUCGAAAACAACCAACAAACAAAAGGGGCAAAGAGAAAUAAAAGCCUCAUAAUUGAUUCAAGUACCCCAAGAAUCACUAAUAACUAUCAUACCGGAAAAGAUCAAAUUUUGUACCUUAUAUGCCCAACAAUUAUGAGUAGCCUUGGGGUCACGAACCUUAUUUCCAAACAAAACAAAAAAUAAGUCUUUAAUGGCAAAAAUAAAAAAAUAAAAAAAACCAAAAGUAAAAUGCAAGAAAGAAGAGAGGAAGGAGUGAUUAUUAAUACCUCAGUGAGGAAGGCCUGAGCAGAGCGUUCAUUAGAGAUGGUGCCAGCAAUGGCGAUAAAUUUACUCUUCUUUAUCUCUGUCUGAAAUGUGACCCUUUCUUUAAUUGUGGUAAAGGCACCACCUUUUUUAUUAUUAUUGGGAUUAGAAUCAGACGCAGUGAUGCUAUUGCUGCUAAUGGUGGCCAUUGGCGUUAGAUAAAUACAGGGUUUUGUCUGAAUUACGGAGAACGAGGGAAGAAAACGGUGACGGUGAUUCUGAAGAUUGUGAUGGAGAAGAAGGGCUUUGUUCAGAUUCUUGAAAGGGAUUGAGAGAAUCCGCAUAGAAGCAGCCGCCUGCAUCAGCAAAAACCUUAAUUUCUUUCCAUCUAAAACGUUGUCGUGAUGGUGGAAUUCGAUUAAGGUUUCGUUCUUUGUUUUUUAUGCUCAAUUUUGAGGACAGAAAAAUAUGCAAGCAACAAAAUAGUCUUUAGGAUUAUAGAGCACGCUUUAAAAUAUGCAAGCAACAAAAUAUUCUUUAGAAACAUCGAGGCGUGGAACUCUUGAGUAUUAUAUGGGACGCUUUAGAUUGAGGGCGCAAAAGGAUGGGGAUAUUUGGGGGAAAAAAAAAAAAGUUACCCCACAUUUGUGAUUUGUUACUCGAAUAGACAAAAUUUGGAAAAUGCACUUCCAUCCAUUAAAAAGUAACUUUAAGAAGUUAGCCUAGAACGACAUAUGCAUAAUUUGGCUUAAAUACCUACAUUUUGAGAAUUUCCUUGAAAAUGUUAUUUGCGCCAUUUCUGUUAAUUACACUCCCACUAUUAUUUUAAUCAUAUAAUUUUUGUUUGUUAGAACAUAUAAUAAAACAAAUUAUGCUAGUGCAAGUAACAAAAAAUGAGUGCAAAUAAUAUUUCUCUUUUCCUUUUGCUCAAGUUAUGCAAGUAGUAUUUCCUCUGUCAACGAGCAAUUCUUAGGUUUUUUAAUGAAGGACAACAAAAGUAUGAAAAUACAUAUUCAAAUGAUGUCCAUGCCAAAAUAAGAAGACCACCAUGCAAAGAAAUAUGUCAUUGUGAAUUUUAAUAUUAAAUUAUCAAGGCUUACUGCAAAAUAAAAUGUAAAAGAUCAAUAUGAUGUUAAGAGAUGUGAUUCGCUAACUAAAGGUUUUUUCAUGAUUAAAUUGGAUUGGCACUCCUCAAAAAUGCCCCUUUUCAAUCCAAAAGUCUCAUACUAAAUAUGAAAAUAAAAAAAAAAAAACAAACUAAGAUGAUGGUCUUUUCAUUCGAACCUUCAUUUUGUACUAAACAUAGAACUAGAAAUAAGUUAUAAAAACAUGAUCUAUUCAAGUUUAUGUGAAAAAAGUAAAUUUUUCACAAAAAAAUUUUGCAUGUGCUGAUGAGCCAAAAUAAGCAAAAUACCACACUUUCCUAGUAAAUCAAGCACAAAUGCAAGGAAUUGUUUUUGCUUUCUAAUACUAUUGAAAACUAUAAUUUUUUAUUCGCUUCGCUGUCUCCAUCCCCAACGUCGCUUUGGCCGAGUGGUUAAGGCGUGUGCCUGCUAAGUACAUGGGGUUUCCCCGCGAGAGUUCGAAUCUCUCAGGCGACGACUCUUUUACCUUUUCGGCUUCCGUUUGCUCUUACAAUCUCACCGACUACUUUCUAGUAGUUCUUCACUUUUGACCGUUAAACACUUGUUCUUUCUCCGGCUUUCAAGUCAAGACAACUUUUCGUCCACAUUAAUCGGAGAACCUGAAAUGGGAACUGGAAGGGGACCUCACCGGAGAAAGUCAAUGACCACCUCUCCCUCUGUGGCUCUGUCCCCCUCCCCCAUAUAUACCUCUUCUGACUUUUGAAUUGUCUCAAGACCGACCCUAACGCGGUGACUCGGCCAUCCCUCCAACCAGUUUGGUGAACUGGGCAAUCCAGCCAACAACAACUCACCAAUCAAUAAGUCCAAUGCAUUAGGUCCACCCUCUUGACACGUAGCAUUUUCUUUUUUUUUUUUUUCAAGAAAAAUGUUUGGGUACAUUCAGCUCCAAUCAAUACUGGUGUAUACCUCCCGAACCAUAGAUCGCUUACAGAAAUUUUUACAGAUCGCCUACCAACACAGUUUUCACAUUGGCGGCGGGAUUCGCAUACAUAAUCUUUUGUAAAAAAGUGAUUCAUUCUUAUUAAUUGGACCAACUUGUGUAAAAAAGUGAUUCAUUCUUAUUAAUUGGACCAACUUGUGUUGACAUAGCCUUUGUUGUUCAUGAAAAAGGUUGCAUUUCCUUUCAAGUCUGGAGUAGUGACUUAUGGGAAUUGGAAAAUAAGGGUGCAUUUAAUAAAAUUGAAAUUUGAGAUUUGAAAUCUAAAAUCUAAAUUUAGCAAAUUACUAAAUUAUUAAGUACCAAAUUUAAUAGUACAUUUGAGUGUAUGUCACAUUAAGUGAUAAGUGAAUAGCUUAUCACUUAUUUUUUUUAUCCAAAUUUUGUCUUAAAAAAUUCAGCGUCAUUUAAUUAGUUCAAAUAUUUUAUUUUUAGUUAUCAAACGUGUCGAAAUAAGUUAAAAUUUGAAUACACUAAAUUUAAGUGAUGAAUUAGGUUAGCAAACACGGUGGAGUCAAGCUUAACAUUUGGCUGCAAUCAAAGGGUUAACGGCCCCGUCAGUCUAUGACCAUAUUUAAUUUCAAUGAUAAUGUGAACGACUAACAUAUUUUAUCAGCCUCAUUUUUUCUCAAACUUUUUGACAGUUGCCAUUAGCCUCAUCUACCUGAUGGAAUUGGUGUCCUUUAACGUGGUCAAGUGACGUUUUCUUCUUCCAUGGGCCAAUUACUUGGGAAUUUUUUUUCUUUAAUUAUAUGAUUAAAAUUAACACACAAUAAUGACAACAAUACUGAGCACACACAGAUUAAAACUGAUCAACAACAUUACAGCUAAUAACAUUAGAAAAUGUGGGAUGGUAACUAAUAAAUUCACAUUCAGUGAGAUUUAAACCCAAGAUUUGUUUAUUUACAUGAUUUAUAAAUCGUCUCUAUUAAAUUAACCUUUUUAAGUUAGCAUGGCAAAUAAUCAUCAAGCGAUCUGUGUAUCUACAUGAGCAGAAAUUUUACAAAACCAUUAUUUGAAUUACUCUAUAUGCAUAUGUUUUGAUGCCCUCAAAUUGUUCAGAAUACUUCAAUAAACAACCUAUUCAGUCGACACAUUUUUCAGUAUUCAGUAUUUCCAAUCCUUGUGAUAAGGUGGUUAACUGAAGGGUAGAUAUUAAAGUUCUCUUGAUUAAUAUUGAUUAAGUGCAUAAGCAUAUUAUUCUUUCAUCAAAUCCAAUAAAAAAAAUUCCUUAAUCACGCGUUAUAGUGACAUUAGGGUACCCCAAAAAAAAAAAAAAUGAAUCGAAUAUUGAAGCUGUUGAUUUGCAGCAUGGACUCGUUGAGGUUAGGUCGGAGGUUUGCUCAAGGGAGGUAAUAUCUUAGGUAGUGGCUGGAGGACCGGGCGCGUCAUCUAGAUGCAGGAGUUGAGGAGAAACUUUAAAUCAGUGAUGGAAAUUUGAUGCCAAAUAAUGGCCUUAAUUAGUUCUCUUCAUGGUGCUCAGUAUAUUUUUCGUCUAUAACGAACAUAUUCAGAUGCAUGAAUUUAAUUAUGAUGCGACUUUGGGCAGUCUUUCAUGGAUUGCCUGCUAUCAUAAGUAGCAAUUAGUUAUUGAACAGGAAUUGGACUUUUAACUUCUACUAGAGAAAUGCUUUUAAGACGUUAUUGUUUUCAGGUUCAGAUAUCUAUUGUAGAGAAGAUUACUUGACGAUCUAGUAAUUAACUGGAAGAUCUUAAGAAAAAAAAAAAAGAUCAGCUAGCUACUAUAAAUGGUGAAAUUUAAAAAGCGCGGAGAAAAAAGAAAAAUUUAAAUUCAAUAUCUCUAAAUCCUGAAAUCUCAACUUUAUUCAGCAUUGAAAAAUAAUUGUUCGAGAAAUUAUUACGUGUAAAACAUACAUUCAACAGUCAGAAACUCGAUCGUGUGUGUUGACUGGUCAAAAAUAUCUUUAGGGCAGGUCAGAAGAACAUGCUGUUGACUCUUGGCUCUUCUAUCUUGAUUGGGCCAAGGUGGGAAUCCGAUAUUAUUCCACUCUCUGUUCUUUUCUUUUGGCAGAGAAUCGUAUGCAUGAUAACAAAGCGGGUAUGCAGGCUUUGGGUCUGGGGAGGAAAGAAAAGAUGAAAAAUAAAAGAAGAAUGCGUCACGCUCUGACUUGGUUCCCAAAGGCAUCCAUUAUUCAGCUGGAACUCUGCUCUGGUCAAAUUUGCGCUGUGUAGACUACGCAGUAUUGUUCCAACCAUUCCAAGUCGUAAUAAAGCAACUUGUUGGACAACAAUUUCUAUUUUGUGGACGUAAUUCAUCAUGUAAUCAUUAGCAACCCUUCCAGAUUAUGGAGAGCUAAACAAAGUUGUGGUUUCAAUUACCUUCUUAUCUUUCUAACUAUUAUUUUUUAUUUCACAUACCUUACAUGCUAAUAUAACAGGUGCUACAAUAUUUUUUUUUAAAAAAAUAUUUCAAAUAAUCUCCGAUCCAAAAUUAUUAAUUUGGAUAGAAGAGGGAUUUAAAGGUAAGAAUGUGCGACACUUUAUUCUUUUUUAUUCUGGGGUUUAGGAGAGAAAUUGAGAAUUAUAUUUACUUUGCUUGGAAGUUAGUGUAUGAAAGAGAAAUGAAGCAUCCAAAUUAUUCUGACUUUCUCUACCUGUUAAGCAAGAGGUUUACUUUUUUUUUUUUUUUGGUCUACUUUUUUCAAGUUGAGAAACUUGUACAUGUCCAUAAUUACUCGAAAACUUGCAAGGAAACUAUCUUAAGGAAAAAGAGCCAAAAUAGGUAAGUUGCCAAAGCAAAUGGUGCAAAUAUUUGCUAAUUACCUUUCUAGCUCUCGUUGUAUCCACAAUUCACGAGUUCCAAUAAUAAUAAAAAAAAAUAAAACAACAAAAAUGAAUACAAAAUUGAAGUUUUCUAAGACAUUCAUUGAUACUCGAUAACACAUCUAAAUUUCAUCUAACAUAUCGCGCGUGUGCAUGUAUAUAUUGAUAAUUAUUGCCUUCCCUUCUCCUAUUUAUAUAUAUUUUUUAAUUAAUUUUAUUUUUUAAAAAAUUUAACACUUGAAUUAUAUUUUAAAAUGUGCCUAUUGGACACCCGUUAGAUAUAUCCUUAAAAAAUUGCAAAAAGCAAAAAGUUACAAAAGUGUUAAAGGCAUUAAAGAAAAAACUUUGUUGGCCACAGCCCGCAACAACACGAAUUCAUGAAUUCUCGUACUGACCCCCUUAUUCUUCUUUAACAGUAACCAAUAACCUUAGAACUCCGCCAGUUGGCCAAUUUGCAAAGCGCAGGAUGUGGUAGCGUUCUAUUAGGUCAUUAGACAAUUAGUCUCUGACCCCAUAACCGCGUAAACAAAUUCAACCUAAAUUCUACUACUACGCAAGAAACUUCCUUCAUUUCCCAUUUUCAUUUUCCUUUCGUUUCCUUUUUCCUAAAAAUAGUUCCAAUUUCCCCCACUAUAUAUAUGUAAACCUUUCUCCUCCCUUCCCCCUCAAACCAUCAAUCACUUCAAUUUUCUUUCCCCUUUUACCAGCACAUGUCUCAGAGACCCAACGUCCCACACUUCUCCUCCGUCGCCUGCGGCCUCCAUUCCCAUCUCCUGGUUUCCAGUGAGAUGUCCUCUAAUUCCAACUGGUCUUCUUCUGCUCGUACCUUGUAGCUAUUCCACCACCUAGUCUUUUUCCUUAAAUACCCCACAAAAUUAAAAAUUAAAAACCACACACACACUAAACCCAAACAAACAAGGAGAAGAAAGGAAUCAAGAAAAACGCUACUCAUUUUUUCUGAGUUCAACAAAAGAAGAAAAUAUGGGUUUGAAAGGCUUUCUUGAAGGAGGCAUAGCUUCAAUAGUGGCUGGAUGCUCCACCCACCCGCUGGACCUCAUCAAGGUCCGAAUGCAACUUCAGGGAGAAUCCCCCGUCCCCAAACCGGCUGCUCAAGCGCUCCGACCAGCUCUAGCCUUCCACCCUGCAGCUGGUCAGGUUUCUCAUCCUCACAUUCACGUCCCUUCUCCAUCUCUUCGUCCGCCGCCGCCCCGCGUGGGACCCAUUGCCGUGGGAGUCAAGAUUGUCCAGCAAGAAGGGGUCGCCGCGUUGUUUUCCGGCGUCUCCGCCACCGUCCUCCGCCAGACUCUUUACUCCACCACCCGCAUGGGACUUUAUGAUGUUCUGAAGCAAAAAUGGACCGACCCACAUACCAACAAGAUGCCUCUGGAUAGAAAAAUCGCUGCUGGGCUCAUCGCCGGCGCGGUUGGAGCGGCCGUCGGGAACCCCGCUGACGUGGCCAUGGUCCGCAUGCAAGCCGAUGGUCGGCUCCCGGUGGAUCUGCGGCGCAAUUACAAGAGCGUGGUUGACGCGAUUGGUCAAAUGGCUAAAACCGAGGGAGUUGGCAGCCUGUGGCGCGGUUCAUCCCUUACGGUGAACCGCGCUAUGGUGGUGACGGCAUCACAGCUGGCAUCAUAUGAUCAGAUCAAGGAAUCGAUAUUGGAAACGGGUCUGAUGAAGGAUGGGCUUGGGACCCACGUGACCGCCAGCUUCGCCGCGGGGUUCGUGGCGGCGGUGGCGUCGAAUCCGGUGGACGUGAUCAAGACUAGGGUGAUGAACAUGAAGGUCGAGCCGGGGAUGGCCCCACCUUACAGUGGAGCCGUGGAUUGUGCUAUGAAAACUAUCAAGGCUGAGGGCCCACUGGCCCUUUACAAGGGGUUUAUUCCCACAAUCUCAAGGCAGGGACCAUUCACAGUGGUGCUCUUUGUCACACUGGAACAAGUCCGGAAAUUGUUCAAGGAAUUUUGAUUUUUGAGGAUGAUGACGAAGAAAUUAGAAUAAAAAGAAAAUUAUGUUUCUUCUUUUAUGUUCCUGAGAUCUGGGAGUUUGAAUAGCAAGAAAUCUGUCAGAUACUGCAUGUCCUUUGAUUUAUAGUAAAUGGUUAAUUUUUUUUAAUUUGAAUUAUAAACUUGAAACCAACGCAAUUAAAGUAUUCUAUUUUUCAUUAUUUUCAAAGGUCGUGGGAGAAUACGUAAAUCAAUGCAAACUUAUUUGUCUCUUGGACGAACAAAUUAACUUUUACUUUUGGCCGAAUAUCGAACAAAGUCGAUGCAAUUUGACAAAAGGUGAAUUUGAGUGGCUGCAAUUAGUACUAAUUGUUUGUUCAUGUGAGCUAGGGGCUCUAGCUUCUACUUACCCUUUUUUUCCUUUUUUCUAAAUGAGCGGUAUUAGUCUCAUGUUCUUGUUUUUGUAGUCCCAUAAUUACAUAUAAUAUCAGCAAAAAGUUAUAUCCCAAGCUUGAUUUUGGUUUCUUUGUUAAGCAAAAUUCAGUUCCAAAUUAGCAAUAGUAUAUAGUUGUGUUUGGACAGACAUUUUUCGUCCAAAAAUUACUACAUUUUCCGUGAACACAUUUUCCUAUCAUCUUUUUACUUCACAUACAUCAAAUCAAAUCGCUACAGUAAUUUUUUUACAAAAAAUCCAGAAAAAUGCAAUCCAAACACAACCUAUUAUAUUGUUGAAUUCAGUUGGACUUUGUACUCAAGUGGAAUAUUCGAAGCUCAUAUGCGCUGCUAAAAAGUGCUGGUAUAUUCUUAUAAGAUAUGUAUAUAUUCUUUAGUUAUGGCUAAAAUUGAGACCUUCAGAAAUUAAAAGUCUUUUUUGUUUUUUGAAUCUCACCUCUUAUGUGCCAAAAAAAAAAAAAGUUCUUUAGCUAGAAGUGAUCGUUGUAAGAUAUGUAUUUUCUCAAGCUAAGAAGUUAUUUAAGGAUCAAUAAUAAUUAUUCUUUUAUGUUUUCAAACAAACUUUAUGAAAAACGAAUGUAUUUAAGUAUAGGUAAAUUCUUUCUCAAUAAGUGAAGAGGAAAAGAACAAAAAAAAAAAAAGGGUUGCAUGAUCUUCACAUGCAAUGAAGGUAUUAUCAAACAGAGACGUUAAAUGUAACUUUUACCUGAGUCUUUGGCGUUUACGUAGGACAACAUGAAAGGUUGUGGACAUGGAUUUUUAUUUAUUUUUUGCAAUUUCUUGUCAAGAUGAGAAUGUGAAUGGCCAAUAGGCCAAACGAUGAAUGUCGAAAUGCUGCCGACCUGUCAAGAUGAGAUAAUCAUAUGAACCAUGGAAUUAUUUCUUUUUGUUGUUUAUGAAAGUGGAGAUGUGGAACCUAGCACCUUCAACGGGCAGCAACUCUUGGAAUUGGCUGUAAUCGUGGCUACGACAAACCAUGUUGGAGGAUCAAUUGGUCCAGCACAAGAAGUAAUUCAAUUCUCACGUUGGGUGGUGUUAAAUUGAAGGUAUUAUUCUUUUCUUAUAUAUAAGAAUUUGGUAAAUAGUAGUUAUGUUAAGUUUUUCCUGGACUUGUCACUCACAAAAAGUAAUACGUACUAAUUUUGAGGGGAAGGAUGGGUCGUAGAAGACGGUGUAAGCGAGAGGAAUCGGAUUUCGAGACUUCCUACUUAAACUUUGAAAAAAAAAAAAAAAAAGUAACACCAAAUAUAUAUCUCAACCAUUCCAUUAAGUGAUAGUGUAUUAACAAUACAUCAUCUAACAAUUGUAUCAGUCAUGCAAAAAUGCAGGCACAUUGGUUUUGCAAAAACCCAAAUGCUAUUCAUUAGACAAAUACGAGGGAUUAAUGUGAUAUCUGGUAAAAUGAGAAAUUAUUUAUUUAGCUUUAAUAGUUGAUUCAAGAGAAAGAAAAAACAUAUAUAGAUGGGAGUGCCACACAACUGUAGGCACAUCGGUGGGAGGAUUCUUUUAUGUUAGUUCUAAUUUCUGGAAAAAAUUUUGUGGAAGAGAGAUGUCUUUAUUCAUGAGAACAGAAAUGGUAUGUGGCAGGAGACAGGAUGCUAGGAGUUUAAUCUUAGAACAGAAUGGAAAAGGAAAACUUGCAUACCAGUUACGUAACGACAGAACAACUAUAUACGGGAUGUAUACGCUUAUUUUGGCCGCAAAGGAAAAGCAAGGACCUGAAUCAUGCAUGCCAUUCAGAAAUUUCCAGGUGAAAUAGACCGGUGGCCAACUUUCCUUCGUUCCCUGUAUUGAAGAACUUCCGUCAGGCUGAAAAUGACUGGCAAGAUAGUAUCAAGUGGAGAAACUCGCUUGAUUUCCAACGUCAAGUGGUUAAAAAUUGGGUUAAUUACAUUGAGGUUGAGUGGCUGCUAUUGGACAUAGUUGUUAAUUGCAAACGAGUAGAAAGUCAUGUAGGCCUACUCCUGUUUAAAUCUUGAUUAGUUAAUCUAAUUAUUUUUGUCUAUGAUCCGAUAUCCUUGGGUCGGUCUUGUAGCAUGUUGUCAACUAUUUCUGAUUUUUGGGUUUGAUUUUCAAUUUUUGAAAAAACCAAUUUUUUUUUUUUUUUUUUUUUACUUACAAAGAAACCCAUAAAGCAUGUAUCUUCUAACUUGUCAUAUUGACUUCUUUUUUUUUUUUUUUUCUCUUUUAAAGCAUCUUGACUUCAAAAAAUCAGUUAAGAACAAGCCACCAAUUAAAAGAAAAAACUCUCUCUCUCUCAUGUGCUUGACUAAAGAUUCCUUGAUUAUGUGCAUUUAGUAUCUCCAAACUGAAACCAUCCAAAUUACGUUGCAGAUAUUAAAAUAAAAUUAACCCUUUUAUCAAAAAAAAAAAAAAAGAAAAUUAUCAUCUCAUUGCUUAUAAAAUGAGUUGGACGAUUUUGCCUCUUCAAAAUUCAAUAGCUAUGGACAAUGAAGUGCCACCAUGACCCAAAUUAUAUUGUGUCUCAAAAAUCAAGCUAAUCACAAAGAAAAUAGAGUGCUCAGCUCAUUAUAUUAGAUUUAAUAGUAGGGUUAAUGCUGAUUAGUGUUCGUAGUUUGGUGGCCAAAGCGUGUUUGCACGUUGAGGGUUUCUUUUUGUCGUAAAUCGCUAGAAGCUGUUGCCUGUGGAUCCUAUUUUUGCCAGGCUCCAGCCCUCGGGAAUCAAACCUUCAUUCCAAUGAAAUUCCGAGGGGUGCCAUAGGAAAUUUCUGAGAUAAUUUUUGGUUAUUUGGGAUAAUUUUUUUGAAUGAUGUGAUAUAUGUGAGAUAAAAAGGUAAUUGAAAAUGUGUUAAUGAUACAAGCAAAUAAAUCUUGACAAAUAAUUGGCUAUCCAAACAUGUUAGGAGAGGGCUGGCCAAAGGUGUUCAAUUAAUUACAUUUUGUAUUAAGGUUUAAGAUAACUUUGUAAUUGGGUACUAUAAGAGCGAAUGAGUAAACAUUCUGUGCAACAAUACAUACAAACUAUUUGUGAAAGUGAAAAUUUUCAAAUGUAUGUGUUAUACCAAAUUAACAUAUGAAUGCACAUGCUGAUAUGCAUUGUGUUGCCUUAUAUUUAAAUAAUUUUCCUAUUUAACUUUAGUUGUUUACAAAACCGAUAUUGAUCUCUCUUAAUUAGUACCCGUUAGACACUUGUCAAACAGACCAUUUAUAUAUUAAAAAAAUUUUUGAGCUUCACAUUUAAUAUAUAGUUUACUAUUUUUGGAAAAAAAUUUUUAUAGUUACUUUCUUUGUCUUAACGACACAUCGAAUCUAACCUAAUCUACUCCUACAGUCCUAUUCCUACUUGGGGGGAGCCUAUUCUAGGAGGUGGUUCAACUGAGUCGAGGGAACCUAAUGAAAACUGAACCACCAUCAGACCAAAUUACACCACGCAUCCGUAUGAAUUUAGAACAAUACUCAUAUAGAGGUGCAUUGAUGGGAGGUAAGGUUCUCCCACCUCACAAUUAAUGUGGUGACUAACUCUUUUAGAGGGGGUUGGUUUUUUAUAAUUGUUCUUUAAUAGGAAUUCUAUGCUGUUCAAAAGUAGUUUGGACAAGUAACAUGAAAUGAGCGUAGUGGCGGACGGAGCGCAGAGGAUUUAUUCUAGGGAAAUGGAACUUUUGUGCAUAAGACAGCCCCAUGAAUUCAUGGAGGAAAUGGCUCCCGGGAGGUGCCUUGAUUCCCAGAGCAAUCAUUCACCUAAGAAUACAUGUCAUGCACGAUAUUAGAUGCAUGUACCUGCCUGGAUCCUGAAAACAACAUCCAAAGAAUUCCUUUGUCUUGUCCCUUUUAUAAUUUCAACCAGUCAAAUGAUUGUCCCAUCAUCUUUUUCUGUCUGGAAAAAAAAUUGUAUGCUGUUAUUGGAUGUUUGGUUUGUACCCAGAAACUAGAAUGAAUACCAAAUUCCACUUAGAAAGGCUGUCAACUAGCUAGGAGCCACCAAGCCACUAGCAGUCUAAUGCCUAAAAUAGGCUACUAUUCAACUGCAACAUUUUAGUUUAACACCAAUGCUUCAACUCAAAAGGGAAUUUUAUAUACGAAAUGAGGAAAUAAAACCAAGGAGAUUUUGAGCAAAAUAAAAAAUUUCAAUUAAUGUAAUACAAUCUUGUGGUUACACUUGACAAAAUUGUAAACCAUGAAAGCACUUCAUGGAGAUCAUCAAAGGUCAAGAGGUGGCCUAAAAGCAGGGGCGGAGGGAAGGGGGGCGGUCCAAUUGUUAAAAAAAAAUUUAUAAGUAAAAAUUUGUUUAUUAUAUUGUUUUGCCCCCCCAAAUAUUGAUAAAAAAUUUCACUUUGCCCCCCCUCCAAUUGUUAUAAAAAAAUUUCUAAGUAAAAAAAAUUUUUCUUAUAUUGUUUUGCCCCCCCAAAAUAUUGAUAAAAAUUUUCACUUUGCCCCCUCCUAAGGACCCAAAUAAUAAUGUUUGAAAGUUAUUUGGACUUUGUCCAAAUAACAGAGACUCGCCCCCCUAAUUGCAAUUCCUAGCUCCGCCACUGCCUAAAAGCAACAGUGAAGUUGCUAUAACAGGCAUUGAUUCUUUUAAACAAAACAUCAUGGUUACUGAUUGUUAAGAGACACAAAACAAAAAAGUGCUAUAAUGCUUUUUUCACAAAAUUAUCUCAAAUAAUUUACAAUCCAAACACUGUAGUUUCAUUAGAGAAAAUAUUUGCUCCAGGUUGAUAAACACCAUUUACUGCAUUCCUUUCUUAGUUGGAAAACAUUAGCGUCUCCAUUUAAUGGAGUAAUUUCAUAAACCUCCCUUGAGAUUUUUGAUAAUUUCACUUAGCACCCUUAAACUUUUAAAAAUAUCAUUUACUUCUCUUAUUUUCAAAUUUUUGUAGCAUUCUCAAACCAAUUCAAAUUAUAUGUUUACAAUACUCAUUUUAGGAAAGAGAAAAUAAUUUGUUUCCAAUAAUGCCCUUUCAUUUUUUAAUUUUUUAAUUGUAAGAAUAAUAAUCAUAUGUUAAAAAUAAGGACAAAAAAUGAAAAUGUUCUUUUUUUAAAGGAACAACAUAUAAUAAUUGCAACCAUAAACAAUAAACUUUUUUAAAAUACAAACAAAUAAUAAAAUUUUGUUUAACAUGUUUUCAAAUUAUAAAGUAAUUUUUUCCCUUUAAUGUUUGUCUAUUUGGUACUCUAAAGUCACAUGGUAAGAAAUAUGAUCCGUUUGGAUGAGCUAUUUCUAGAGAUGUUUUUGAAAUAUUUUACUGUAACAAUGGACCUGUUUGGAAUCGAAUUUUUUGGCCAAGUUUUUUAGUUACUAGUUUUUUAACAACUUUACCUACAGGAAUCCAAAAAAACUUAUUAAAAUUUUUAACCUACAUAUUUCAAAAUAUCUAAUACACAAAAAACUUCAUUUUUUCUUCUUCAUUCUCCCCCGUCCCGAUCAACCACACCUUCAUCGCUGGCCACCACCUCCACCGCUACUUUCGGCGUCGGCCACCUACUCCGACGCCGGCCUUCCCCUUUUUUUUUUUCCUUCCUUUCUCCCUCUCCAUCUCCCUCUCCCCCUCUCCUUCCCUCCCCUCUCUCCUUCCCCUCCCUGGCUACCCUCCCCCUUUCCUAGCUGCUAUCUGGUCAUGCGACCGGAUUGGGCAAAAGGGGAGGGGGAAGGAAAGGAGAGUAGAAAAGGGGAGGAGAUGAGGAGAGGAAGAUGGAGAAGAGGGGAAAAGAAAAGGCAAAAAAAAAAAAAAAAAAAGUGCACGCCAUGGCUACUGGUUCUCUAGCUUCUGGAGGGAGAGGGGGAGGGUGAAGGGGAGUAGAGGGGGAGAGGGGAGCAGAAGGAGAAAAGGGGAAGAGAAAAAGAAAAAAAAAAUUGGGACCAUGGUUGCUGGUUCAUCUAGUACCGCGAGGGAAGAGGGAGAGGGAAGGAAGAAGAAGAAGAAGAAAGGAAAGAACGAGAAAAAGGAAAGAAAAAAAGAGAAAAAGAAUGAAAAGAAAAAAAAAAUGGUAGGACCAUGGCUGCUGGGAAGGUAGAGGUAACGGCGGAGGGAAGGGGGAGGGGGAAGGAAGAAGAAGAAGAGAGGAAAGAAAAGAAAAAGGAAGGAAAGAAAAAGAAAGAGAAAAAGAAAAAGAAAAGGAAAAAAAAGUUUUUCAUCUUAAAAAAUUUUUCCAAAAAUUUCUACAGUGCACUACAGUAAAGUUUAGAAGUUUUAGACAAAUUUUCAAGAACGUCAAGUUCCAAACGGGGCCAAUGUAGUUGAAAAAUAUUUAUUAUAGAUGUUUUUAAUAGUGUUUUUGAAAAUAUAUUUUGAAAUAUUUUUAAAAUUUAAAAUUUUAAUGGAAUAUUUAUAAAAUUUUAUAAUCACCCAUCACUAUCCCACCACCCCUUCUCUUCUCCCUUAUCCUCCUUCUACUUCUUCGUCCUCCCUCCUUCCCCCUCUUCCCCUCCCCUUUUUCAUGUCUUUCUUUCUUCCUCUUUUUUCUCCUCUCUUCUCCUUCCUCUUUCUCCUCUAUCCCUCCCCUCCUCCCUACCCUCUCUCACCACCCCUCUCUCUAGUCGUGAGUUGCAACUAGAAAAUGGACGCUGCUUGCGACCAAAUUCGGUUGCAAUUGGAAGGGGGAAGGGGGCAAUGAGAGAGUCAUGAGGAGGAAGGAGGAGGGAAGAGGAGGAAGAGGGCAGGGGAGGGAAGAGGAAGAAAGGGGAAGGGAAGAGGGAGGAUGAGAAAAAAGGGGAGAGACGAGAGAAGGAGAAGGAACAGCGGGUGGUAGUGUGUUUUUAUUGGUUGUUGUUGUUGUUGAUGGUGGUGGUAUAUAUAUAUUUUUUUGAUAUUUGAAGUUGUUUUUAAUACAUUGUAUGAAUGUGAUAUUUUUGAGGUUAUUUUUAUUUGUGUAUUAUUAUAACAUAGUAUAUGAAAAACUUUUUUUUUUUGAAAAAAUGAGGAAUCCAAAUGGAGUUAUUGUUAUUGUUUUUUUUUGACAAAAAUGUAGAUUUCUUCUACAAAAGUGUUGUAAUUUAGGAGACUAUUUAUAAUUUAAAAACUUCAGUGUUUGUCCAACCUUAUUUAUCCAUAUGUUUAUCACAUGCUCUUAGGUUAUCGAAUGAGAAAAAUCUUUCUUUUUAUGUAAAAUGGUUUGAUUGAAUCUAAUAAAUUUUAUGAACUAUUUAGAAUCUUUAAUUUUUAUUUAUUUGAAUCAAUGGCUUGAAAAUUUAGAAAAGGGAAAAAUUUUUAAAUUACAUUGAGAAUUUAUUUGAGUUGUUUAGAAGACAAAAAAAAAGUUAUUUUUCACAUCUUUACAAUAUUGCAAAUAAUUUUCACAUACUUUGUUAAUUAUUUAUGAUUUUUCAAUUUAAAAUUUUGCCUCCAAAUUGUAGAUAAGAUUUGUUAAAGAUUUCUCAACUCUAAACUUGUAAUUUUUUUUUUAACUAAAAAACACAUCCAUCAAGUUUUUAAAUAUAAAAGGAUUUUAAAUUGAUUUGUCAUUACAGCUAAGGGAUCACAAUAAAAGAGCAACUUUAGAAUAAAAUAACUUUCUCUUUCCUAAACAUAGUAUUUUAAUGAUAUAAUUAGAAUUGGGUUGGGAAUGUGAUAAAAAUUUGAAAAUAAGGGGGAAAAGUGAUAUUUUUAAAACUUUAAGAGUACUCAGUGAAACUAUAAAAAACUUCAAGGGAAAUUUCUGAAAUUAUCCCCCAUCUGAUCCUCCUGUUUGUGGCUCAUAUUUACUUGAAGAAAUUAGAGGUGUCAAAAUGGUUGAUUUGGACGGGUUUGGAUGAGUUGAAAUAGAUAAUGGGUAUAAAUAAGUUAAUUCAUUUAUACCCAUUUAAUUAGAUAGGUAUAAAUGGGUAAUUCAAAAAAUGAAUUGGGUAAUUCAAUUACCAUUUAUAUCCCAUUUAUUUUAACUUUUUAUAAACUCAUUUAAAUUUAUUUUUGCAAACUAAAUUAUCAAUUGAUACCACUCUUUGCAUCCAUCAUUAUCAAUAAGCCUAAUUACUAAAAGAAUAUAAAAAUUUGAACUAAUUACCAUGAAAGUUAAUAUAAAAACUUAAUCUAAAAACUUUGAACCGCUUACAAUUUUUUUGUAUGUAAAUUUAAAAUUUCAUUUUGGAAAGGUAGGAGAGGAGACUAAAACUUAUCAUAAAUUGGUAAUGCUAAAAAAUGAACAAAUUAAUAAACUAUGAAAAGAUAAAAUGAUAAGAUAAAACCAACAAAUCUUAUACAUAUAUAAAAUGGGAAUCGCUUGUGAACAGUGCCUAUGGUCCGGUUAUGCUGUGAUUUUUGUGAGCCUGAGGGGUGUUAUGGACCUUAUGGUCUUUUGGAGUCGAGUGGGAGUGGUUUUGCUGGAAAUUCACCGUCCCCACGUGUUGUUCUCGGACGGCAACAAGUUUAGCGGUGAGUUGAGCUGGAUGCAUCAAGCGCUGCUUCAAAGUAUUGCAAUCUUCAUUACUUUUUCUUAUUGUUUUCUUAGCCGGGAAUCGCUUGUGAACAGUGCCUAUGGUCCGGUUAUGCUGUGAUUUUUGUGAGCCUGAGGGGUGUUAUGGACCUUAUGGUCUUUUGGAGUCGAGUGGGAGUGGUUUUGCUGGAAAUUCACCGUCCCCACGUGUUGUUCUCGGACGGCAACAAGUUUAGCUGCUUCAAAGUAUUGCAAUCUUCAUUACUUUUUCUUAUUGUUUUCUUAGCCGGGAAUCGCUUGUGAACAGUGCCUAUGGUCCGGUUAUGCUGUGAUUUUUGUGAGCCUGAGGGGUGUUAUGGACCUUAUGGUCUUUUGGAGUCGAGUGGGAGUGGUUUUGCUGGAAAUUCACCGUCCCCACGUGUUGUUCUCGGACGGCAACAAGUUUAGCGGUGAGUUGAGCUGGAUGCAUCAAGCGCUGCUUCAAAGUAUUGCAAUCUUCAUUACUUUUUCUUAUUGUUUUCUUAGCCUUGUCUCCGUUACUUUCUCUUAUUCUUUUCUUGACUUUCUCUACCCAGCGUUUUUUCCGUUCCUCAUUCUCCAAUCUUUUUUCUCUAUUCUUUUCUUAGCUUCUCUGCCCAGUGUUUUGCCCUUUCCUCGUUUUCCUAUUGAGUUCUCUACUAGACUGCAAAUAAUUGAGCAAGUGAAUUGCGCAUCAGAGCACGGGUGCUUUGCAGAUGUUUAAUGUUAGUUAUGCUCUAUUUUAUUGGUUUGCAUAGCCAUUCAUGCAGAGCAACAAAUCAAAGUAAGGCUCAUGUAUCCGCGCUCUUGAUGUCUGACCCAGAAGUUUGGCCAUGAAUAUAUAUGUUUGCAUGUAUGGAUGAAUGACGACAAUUAUUCCUGAUAGUUAGUCUUGCUGUAAUUGCUCCUUCUGUUGCUGCCAUUUCUUUGCUUUAAUGCAGCUGCUGCUUGGGUUUGGUAUAGCAAUGGUGGUCAAAAAAUGCAUCAAAUAUUUGCUAAGGCUGAAAAAUAAAACAUUCCAAUACAUACAAGGUUUCAGCAAUAUUAAUGCAUGAAAGUCCCCAACAAUAAGUUCAAUAAUCAAAAGCAAGCUCAAAUUUCUUCUAAAUGGAUGGAAGGCUUGAAAAAGAUAAUUCUAAAUGAAUUAAUUAGAUUUGAUAAUAAAUGGAUAUUAUUACCAUUUAUAUCCAUAUGUCAAAAUUUAAAGAUACCCAUAUACAACUAUUCAUAGGUGGGUGUGGGUAAAUUUAGCUAAAUGCGCUGCAACGAAGCAGCCAUUCCUCAAUUCUUCUAUCGUUAUCGGUGUAUGAGAAAUCGAAGGGGCAUCAUUUGGAGUUUUCCUUCUAUGUCUGUGUAUUUCUUUACAAUUCUAGUAGAAGCAUCCUAGGAUAGCAUCGACCGCACUUCCAUAAUCGAUCCGGGAGGUUCCGCGUCUUUUUGUUGUAGUGCAUUCCCGAGCAAUUGUUGCAUCCGUGAGGCAAAAAUAUCAUCUAAAACCUGCAAAUCCGAAUCUUUGUUGUCAUGGUAGUAUUUAUCAUAUUACUGGAUCUUAUUAGACUCUCAUCUUUACUUCCAUAAAUCAAGGUCAAAUCAGUCGGAAACCAUUCAAUUACUGGAAUAAAAAUUGUGAAAUUCCUCCUCAAAACAACAAAGAAAAUCAUCACAACCACUCUAAUGUGAAACACUGACGAUUUGGCCAGCAAAAGUAUAACUCGAGCCAAGUUACCAAGUCAGCCUGCAUUUUUCACUACCUUGCAAACAUCUAUAACUAUUUCAAGGAUGAAAGACUUGCAUCACAUAGAAGAUUCAAAGGAUGAUCAGAUUAUCCCUCUUUCCUUCUUAACACUCAACUUCGUAUAGGGUGAAUUUCAGUUAAAAACGUCAGGCUUUUAAUCUUUUAAACAUUUGCAAAUAAUGGCUACUGCAUAAAGUGACUAUCUGAAUCCUGGAAGAAUUAGCUCAACUUACAGAUACUGCAACCCGUGAAGCUUUGUACCAUGACCGAUUUUCCUUCCUCUCUGCCAGAAAUCUAAGCACAUCCUGUCACAAAACAUCAAACAACAAGGAAAAAAAAGAAGAAGAAAAUAAAAGAUGCGUAAUGAAAAAAUAAUUAUGAAGCAUUUUGCUGAACAUUCUACCAAGAAACUUACCUGUGCCAUCCUAUCCCAAAUACCUCUUGAUACGAUUAUGAACACCUGAGGGUCCAAUAAAUUGUAAAGUUGAUCAAUCAUUUUUUCAAGCAAAUCCUUCAAGGGCUGCAUCCUACUUCGAACAUCAGAUUCUACAACAUUUUCCUUUGCAUCCUGAAUUAUUUUCUUCAACUUUGUAGACGGUUGCAAUCUUGUCUGAAUCCAGAAAAGCAGUAUAAAAAACGAAAUCAAUACUUGAUAGUGCAUAUCCAAAUGUCAUUAAGAACACCACAAAGUAUAGUUGUAAUGGUGAUCAUAAUGACUUUUUCUGCAACUUGUAACCUUGCAUUAAUAAAUGACCAAGAGAUGAAAAAAAAAAGCAUGCUUUCCAUCCAAAUGCAUCUUGCUGGAUAAUCAGCACAACACAAUGCAGGAAGAAUUUUUUUUUUUUUUUUUUUUAAAGGACCAAAUUCAUAACCUAAAUGUUAGUACACCUACAUUUUCCACAAGCUUUUCUGUAACUCCUUGCAAAUAAGUUCUCAAUUUGGCUCUGAGCAUAACCGUUACUUCACUCAGAUGCUCGCCUGGGAUGGUACUCCCACCAUCAGGGAUGCAAGAACCCCAUACCUUUAUCUGUGCUUCUAUUGGGGGCCGCAAAACAUCAAGAAUCCUUUUCAAGGAAUUAAGAAAAAUUCCCAACUGAAAAAUUAGAGCAAAAAUAUUAAUUUAUGGUCAAAAGAAGGGAGAUACCAAGUUCACAAAAAUCCAAAGAUAGCAAACAAUCUGACCUCUCUGCAAACGGAAUAGGCAGAUACAGUGCCCUUAGCAAAUUUCUGAACAUACUUGAGGCCUAAUUUAAUUGGAAUUGAGUUCUCCUUCAGUGCAUAUAAAACAUCUGCAUAAUGUUUUUCCAUAGUCUCUAUAACUGUCUUUUCCACAUCUGUUAUGGCCUGUAUCCAAACAAGAAUUAGAUGUCAAGCAUUGUGUGUAUUACUCCAUAAAGUUAGAAAAUACACUAGCUACCAUGAUCCGUUGGGUCCUACUGUGUCAUCAAGAAGUACCAUUAUCAUACAAACUAAUCAUUAAAUGUCUAUCCAUUGAUGCAGUAAUACCAAAUGAAGACCUUCUAAUCGAAUCAUAGCAGAAGAUUGGGAUUCUAUACCCCACUUAGCUAAAACCUUUCCCAAAUGCAUACAAGGAAAAUUUCAAACUGGAAAGUAACAUAUAGAAUACUAGCCGGUUUCUGCCAACCCCAAUAAGAGUUAAAAUGAUGAAGGCAAUAGAAAUUAAAAAAUUCAGACUUUACUUACACUUUCCAACUGGAUGGUAUACUCUGGCCAAUGACUUAUAAUAACAUCAUAUUCCUUUAGUGUCUCCUUCAGUUGAUCAUAAAUAUCAUCCACGAAAGGGGUUGUGAGAUCCAGUGCUUGGAAGCUGGACCAUUUUACCUGGAGGCAUGUAAAUUCUACUAAUCAGCAAUAGGGAAAUUACAAACACACCAGCAAAUGCUGACAAAUUCAUCCAAAGCAUCAGUAUUUGGCCAAACAUAAAAUGAAGCAAGAAGAACAGAUAUGUCAAAUCAUAUUAAUUAUGUAUAUAUGUACUACAAACAAACAGUAAAACCUACACAGAUGAGUAACCUGAUGUUUUUUGAAAUAAGAGUUUCUUGUUCCCUAUUUUAAUUCCAUAGGAACAAUUUUACCUUUCUAUAUCAAUAUAAGAUGCCUUAAGAGCCAGUUAUUUUAUCAGCCUCCAGUGCAACCCACUCUUAUCAAGUAAUGCCUAAGAUGCAAGUGCCACAUUAUAAAAGGUUCAAUGGUCCAUAGAUAUAUUAUUGAAACAAAGAAAAAACUUAAGGUAAAGUAUCUCUUUCUAUUGCUUUGCUCAGUGUUUAAGCUGCGGAUGAGCAGACAAAUAAGGUGAAAUCUUGUUGAACCUAAAGCUUGUAUUUAGAAAAGUAAGGAUCAGGCUUCUCAUCUACAAAGGUAAGGGUAGUAAAACUGGGACAGAUCAGAUAUUAGUCUAUAGCAGAAAAGCUACGACCUACGUUGUAUUUUGAAGUCAAAUAAACUUUCUUCCCAUUGGAAUGAUCUCCUCAAGAAAUCAACUGAGGCAACUACCAAAUAAGUUUUCAUGUGCACAUAACCAGUUCAGCCUAAUAGCUCAGAAGAAUUCAGACCAGGUAAUUUUAUGUGCAUAUCCAACACAAGAUGGUGCUGACUUCCACUGAACAAUGCUUGAUGGAAAUUGAAGAAAUAUAACAUAGACCAUGAACUUGACCCAGUGAGUCCAUGUAGACAAAAGAGUACCUUAUCAGGUUUGCAUAGUUCCAGCAAGGUAAGACGCUUUUCCUGGAUCCAGAAGGUUAUAUAUGAGUGGAACAAUUGUUUUGCAUCAACUCCACCUUUAACAGCUCUGCAAAAGGUCAUGAUAUGAUUAAGGCAUGCUAGAAAAGACUAAAGUGUAAACUAAGCACAUAUCAGACUUACUUAAUAUUCCAGGAGGCAAGAUCCCUUUGAAAAUCAGCUGUUGCAACAACGAGUUCUGUCACAGGUGGCAAUGGACUAGGAGGAGGACAAGCAACAAGAAAUGUCUGCAAUCUACUGUUGAGUUCGGUGCUAUAUAUGGAUGAGGAUAGAUUUGGAAGGUCUAUGAAACUAUGCAAAGACAGAUAAGAGAAAAACCAGAGUUAGAGACUUCUAUGAACAAAAAUCCUAUCCUUGGAAGAGAUCAUGCUCGAAUAAAUAACAGAGAAGCCAUUGCAUGAAAUGAAUGCAAAUAAGACUUGCAUAAACCAGAUUAUAGGAACUACAAACAUCUCUAAUUAUCUAAUAUGGCACAAUCAAGCUAUCUACACUUCAGCAAAAAUGGGUCUUUUUUUUUUCAUUUUCUUCCUUUCCUUUUUACCUGGGGAGUACAUGCUGAUCGUGAAUUUCUAUGUCUGUGAAGAUUUCUCGUCUGAUGUUCAAACAAAGAGAUUUUAUUUUCUGAUAUGCUGCAGAAAUAGUUACUGGGUCCAUUAGUACGUUCCCAUUAUUGUUAGAAACAAUCUCAUCUGUUUCUGACAGAUGCCUCUUGGAUCUCUUCUUCACUGCAGUCUACCAAAAAGAAAUGGUUAAUGAAAUGGAGUGCAGCAGGGAAAGAAAGUAUGUAUGCAUUCAAUACCUGAAAAUAUCUGCAAAGCUUCAACUGUGCCUCAGAAGAGAGAAUAUCAUGCAAAAGUUUGUACAGCUUUAGGGCUGGUAUCAGAGCAGAAGCAGCAAAUCCAGUAGCUGGUGUAAACACAUCAGCGACCCCUGAUGGAGAUGACUCAUCAAGUGACUUGUAAUUCUCAAAAACCACCGCAAUGGUCUGCUCAAUUUGAUCAGAAACAUCUCCCAGCAUACGAUUCUGGUGGGGAACGCAUAAGAAAGAACAGUAUGUUAGUUGAAAAUUUGGUAUAAAAACUUCAAAGAAUCAUAACAGAAGAAAGCACUAAAUGCAUAUGAAGCUAAUGGAAGAUGCUAGAUGAAAAGGCGCAAGAUGUGUACAACACGACCUCAGCAUAACUGAAAAAGUCAAAAAAAGUCCAUGAAACAUGGUAUCAUUGAAUAUAACUGCUGAAGGACAAGUGCAGAUAAAUCAAAUAAGAUUCUCCAUGUUAAAGGUGGGAUACUUUUACUGUCUCAUUUUUAUGCAUAAGAUACUGUGCAAAAUUGAGCAGGACAAUAAAUGUUCACGUUUUUUAAAGUUAAAUCCCUCCUACCUCUUGGUGACUCAAUGCCUCUUUACUUUUGCCUUUCAUCACAACAGGAAAGAGCAGAUCAUGCACCAAAUCUAGACAAUCUGCAGUUGGUGUAGCAACAUCCAUAACAUAGGAAAGAUAUCUGCAAAGUAAUCAAACAUUAUAGACCUACACAGUAAUUUCACACCACACCUUGAAACAAUUUAUCUGUAAAUAGGCAUUUAAACGAAUUUGAAUACCUCAGCUUAGUGUAUGCAUCUGAAACUCCAUAGUAUGAAGCAAAUUGAGUCACUAGCCACUUCCAUGAACCAUGCAGCAAAAGCUUUCUCUGUUGAAACUGUUGAGCUUUCAUUGCGGUCUCCAAAACGAAGUCAUAUGCAACAGUCUCAGCAACAGAACCAUACUGAAAUAAAGAACAAAAUAAGGAUACACCUUACCAUGAAACUACCUCAUUUUAACAUUUAAAUGGAUAAAUGUUACAUAGAAAUGAAAAGUAGAACUAAAGUCAUUCAAUAAACCAAUGAAGUCUGAAUUCACAAUGCAUAGCAGAGUUCAUAUGAUAGUCAAAAUAAUAUAAAAUCCCUUUUUUUCCUUUGUUCACCAUUAUUGUAUUGCACAUCUACUGAACCACAAAGAAAAUUCCUUAAGCUUACAUGAUAGCUGAAAAUACCAUCAGAUGAUCUUUAGAAAGAAAGCGAGACAUUAAAUAUGUAGCUAAAACUACUGAUCCCUUUUCUGAUUCUACAUCAAAGAACAAUUAAUGUGGGGAAAAAAUGAAGAAAAUGGAGAAGAAAGAACCGAUAACAAUUCAAAUCAUAAAACAUUAAAAGAUUCAAAUAGGAUCACUUAAACAUCUAUUGAAAGCUAGUGAACAGCAAAAAAAACCAGUUAUGGCAAACUGGCUGCUCUCACAUUUGAACAUAGAACCUUAAGAUUGUAAUUUCUAACACUAUGACAAUGCACGCCUGCAACUUAGAGUUAAGUUGUGGACAUGAAAAAUUAAAAGACAUGUCACAACUAAACAACAGAGUUCAACCAUUUCAGUCAAAAUUAAAAUAAAAAAAAUCAUUUGCCGGACUAAGACUGCACCAGAAUGUUGGUGUAUCAACAGUGAGAUAACAAAAAUUUAGAAAAGAUCUAUUGCAAGGAUCUUACUGACCUUAAGAUGACUAUUCUCUUCUUGACUUGAAUAAUUGAUAUACAAUUGUAUUCUCCCCACAAGUUCAUGCUCUGGCUCUUGAUAUAUAGACCACCAGCGAAGCUUGUCAGCCUGCAUCCAACCAAUACUUCAUGUAUCUAGCAAAGAAAUCUGUAUCUAGAAUUUGAGAAACAAAUAGUAAUCUGAAUAUCCUACCGGAUUAUCAGCAAUUUCAGCCACCUGAGCCAUUGCCCUCCCACAAUACUUCCCCUUUGAAUCAUGGACUUCAAUAAUUAGAUCAUCUCCUAACCCAUCCGGCAAGCUAUACUCCAGAAGCAAAAGAAUCAGUUUAUUCUUCUAUUCGAUAGGAGACUGAGAAAAGAAGAACACAAAAACUUACAACACAUGAGUCUCUCCAGAUGCAGGCUGCAUUUUAACUGUGUCCUCUUCAGAUGAAUUUUUCAAUCUCAAUGAACAAGAAUAUGUUUCUGUAGAUGGAUAAUGAAUCAUUUCAGUAAUAUGUCUGAACAGAAUGUUUCAAUGUAUCUACUGCGGUCUGAGGAUGCAAUCACUGAAAAAAAGUUUACCUUAGCAAGCAAACUAAAAUAUGAUACACUUAUAAACACUGAAACUAAAAUAUCCAAAAGGGUAUUGUACCAUGUUUGCUAGAGUUCAACUUUUCUGGCUUAAUUUUCACUAUCUAAUGGAAAAACUAAAUGUAGUGAGAACAUAGCAACAUUAAGAUCUCUCAAAGAUUUUAGUGAUGGGUAAUGUGGUUGCUUUUCAGUUAUAAGUGGUUUUUCAAGUUUCGGAGCUCCACUUUUUAGCUAUCACUAAAAGUAUUUACAGCCGAGAAUUUCACAACCAUCAAAGUUGCUAUUUCAGUUUAGACCAAACAUCUUCAGAAGAACUUCCAAGAGAAUUUCCUACUAACUUAUUCCUUGAAUAGGAUCACAGUCUAAAACAGAACACACUGAGCUAUUAGCAUUUUAAGACCUUGAGGUGCUAGAAGCUUCCUAUGGGUGUCUUAGCUAUGCCUAGCCAAGCACCCAUGGUAAGUUGUAUCCUCUUGCACAAAGGUUACAAAACAACCUGAUUAAUAAUGUGGUUAGUGACAAAAGACAAAAUAAGUACAAGGACCAGAAAGAAGUUGCAGUGUGCUAAAAAUGAGUUUCAGGUACUGGAUUCAAUUUGGUAAAUGUGGUGUCAUGUUUCUUUUACGAUUCCUAGCAAAUAAUUAACAAUAAAAGGUUCAACAACCUUUAACAUUCUUAUAUGUGUCCAUUCAAGUAUCUUGAUGAACAGUACAAGUGACAUGUAGUAUGGAUGACACUAUAAUGAGGAACUGAUUUUGGUAAAUUAAGGGAAAGAAUAUGCAAAAUUAAGAAGGUAAAACAAAUGUACAACUUUUGAUUUUAACCUUUUUUUAAAACGCUGUGAGGGCAUACAUACCUUGCACCAUUUCAUAGGAUGUCGAAUGGUUGCGCAAAGCAGUAAUGCCAAUUUUUACCAAUUCAGGCAAUUCUUUUACAUACUGAGUUCCAGCAUUAACAUAAGCCAAGCUCUGGCGUGAAAGAGAUCCAUUUGAUGGCAUACGUGGGCUCACACGUACUUUUUUGUAAGUUUCCCACUCAGACGAGAGAGCUGAUUUUAUGCUGGACAACCGUACUCGAAAAGGCUCCAGCUUCUUUAGGGGUGGUUUCAAAGAUGAAAGGCUACAGCCUGUUGGUGGCUCCAGAACCAUUUUUACUUUACGAACUGUGAUUGGAAAAAUCUAGGUAGAUUUAAUAUUCAAACAUAUUUCCAAGAUAGAGAACCUACUGUGGACAAGGAUCAAGAAGAAUACCUUGCACUUUCAUCUUGCCAAUAAUUUUCUUAGGUUUUACACAAGCUCCCUCGCUGAUGAGUUCUGCUGACCUUUUCCUCAAGAGUUCUUCUUCCGAUUGUAACAGCACAUGCUUCAAUCUACAACAAAACAGUGGUCAUGUCAUACGUGGUUUUUUGCAUAAUAAACAAAAAUCAUUAGUCAACAGGUCACUGCAUUGGGCAUACUGACAACAAAAGGAAAGUAAUCACAUUAUUACACUAAUUUUGAUUGGAUUGUGUGUUAAUGCUUCUGCAAAACCACCAGGACACAAUUCAGUUCACUAAAACAGCCAUGAACUUCUCUUGCUUGCUGAUCUAAUUAAAAACUGGUUUCUGAUCAUUACCACACCACGGUAGUGGAGACUAAAUAUGUAGUUGCCCACAAAAUAUACACUCUUUUAGCAUCAAUUAAAUUACCCCUCAUACAUUUGUUUUUCGUGAACAACGAAUUAGAAAAAAAUUACACACGUCCACAUAAAGUCCUCAAUUUUGGAUGUAAAAUGUAUCAGAAUGCAUGGAACUAACACAACAGAGAUACAACUACAUGCAUAAAGGGAAAGGAGUUUUACAAUAUCUUACCCAAAAGCAUCUCUCAGAACUGCACACUCAUUCUCUAGGAAGAUGGGAGCUUCCAUGCAUUCGCUGGCCCAAGCGUGAAGGCAUAGCCGAAUACAUGCAUCAUAAGAAAUGAAAGCAUUCCAAGAGCCUAGACCACUGUAUUGUUUCAGAUAACAGACAGAAAAGGUUCAAUGGUGUUACAAUUUUUAUUGUCACCACAAGAGUUAUAAACAUAGAUGUAUCAGGGAAAAUAAAUGUAAAAACUUGCAGAUUUCAGCUACCUUGCAUGGAAAGUAGGGAUUUUUGCAGGUAAGGAAUGCAAAGACACACCAGCAGCCCUGUCAUCAAUUAGAUAUAUAACCAUCACACUUGAAAUUCUCCCAUGAAUUUACAUAGAGAUAAUUUAAAACACAUGCAGUUGCACAAACAGCUCACCAAAAACAAAACUUGCCAAAAUAAUAUACCUAAGAGAUGCAUCACAAGCUGUCUUGGCAGUAGAGUUUAAUGGGGUUCCAUUGCCAGUAUUUGGCAUAUCUGCGGUUGCAGAACCAUCCAAUUUUGUAGGGUGAGGGAAAAAAUCUGCUCUAGGUUGCCCCGAAACUUGGUUUGUUUCUGAGACAGAACCAGCCAGUGGUGGUGCACUUGGAACAUCAUCAGGUAACUUAUAAUUCUGGACUCCUGCACCUUGAAGAACCUGUAAGAGAAAAAUAGUAGCAUAUAAAAUUUGAUUCAAGAAAGGAAAAUAACAAUCGCAGCACAUAGCAGCACUACAAGCAGUUUUGUGCACUACUACCACUUGAUAGACAUCAAUUAUUGCAGGUGCCUCUUGAGCAUGGAGGAGGAAAAGGCAACGUAGGUAGGUGACUGCGCUAGGACUUAAUUUAGCAGCCAUCCAACGGCUUUAAUGUAGCAUACAGAGGUAAGUUCAGACGAAAAACCUGUCUUGGUGUCUUAGCAUUUGGUUGUAGAUUUCCAUUGAAGUAGUAAACCUCUGAAGUUCCAUUCCUGAGGUCUGGCACACUAGCAUCGAUACUUCUGAUACCUUGUGCUCCUAAACUUCGAAAAUUACUCUGAUGUUUGCCUGCAAAAUGUACAAUAUUCAGAAUGAAAGCACCAACAGUUACAUUAUCUUCUCCGUAAAAAGAAUUCACUGCUUUUGAAAACAACACACCGUUCACAAAUUUAUCAUCUUGGGGCGAUGUUUCAACCGAAUAACGUCCACCGUAAGCCUCACUAUCCGAGUCAGAGCUGGUAUCCAUGUCCGACUCUGAACCGAUUCCAGCGCCAUUUUUGACAGGCAUGCCUCUGGACACCGGGAUAAUCCCAGAUGGCAGGUGUCCACUUUGAAAUCUAGUUGCAGAAGGCAAUCCAAAGCCUCGACCUCCCCGGCUUUGGUUCCUCAAACCGACAACAUGAUCAGCCUGAGUCGGCAUUGAUGAAAUCAACUUUUCCGCUUCCUUGCAGUAUAAUAUCCUAAUCCAUCAAAAAAAAAAAUCAGAACAUCAGUUGCCUAAAACCAAGAAGAAAAACGAAGGGAAAAAAAAAAAGAACCUUACUUGAAUUCAAUGGUGUGAGAGAUUAAUAUAGCAGAAGGCCCACUAUUAAUACACAAUGCAGCAGGAAGAUAGCAAAUGAAACACCCUUUUCCUUAUUGGGAUUAAUUUGGAAAUCAAAUUAGAAGGAUUCCACUUUUAUUUUCUUUCAAUAUUUUCCUAAAUUGUCUUUUUUAAAGAAUCUGAGAAAGAUUGUAAUCAGCUUCCAUUUUUUUUCCCAUCCCAAUUCAAUGCAACCAGAAAGAUACGAUUUUGAUCCAAUAAUUCGUUAAAGAGAACAAAAAAAGAUCACUCUCCAUAUACAUUGAACCCACAAAUGAAACAAGGAAAAAGAAAAGGAAUUCUUGGCAACUUUUGCUAUGCAACAGUAGUGACACACGCUACCAAAUGUAAAAAUGCACUUACCAGUGUGUGAGAAGAAGCUGUAGAGGCUGCACUUUUUCUGCAGUCUUCUCAAUGGGUUUUCACAGUUACUUGGCUUAAACUAGCCUUGGUUUCCUUAAUCUGGAUUAUAGUCCCAAACAUGCUAGUUAACAAAUGUGGCUUAGCAUUUUGGGGAAAUUAAUAUAGUAUGGAGUUCUUGAAUUCGGGUUUGGAGGUUUUUUUUUUUUUUUUUUAAGGUUUAAUGAGCAAAGGAUGGAUUAGCACUAAAAAGGAGACGUUAAAAAUCAAAAGUUCGCAUGGCAGAAAUUAACGGAGACGUGGGGGGAAAUUAACGCGAGGGGAUGACGUGGCACCCGCAUGUUCUGUCUUUUGAUAACGGCCGGUCGUUAGUGGCGCGUCUUUGGGGCGUUUCUUUUUGGAUUACCAGUUGGUGCACACUCAUUUUGUUGCCUCCUUUCUGCCUUUGCUUCAUUGCUUGUAGGCACUCUCUCUCUCUCUCUCUCUCUCUCUAGACACGUUUGUAUGUGAGAGAGAAAAUUGUUUGUGUGCCAUCUUGGAAAUCUAACCUAAGUGGGAGCCUGCUGUGUCCUUUGUUAAUUGCACUGCUUAAUCACUAAGAAAGUGAUGUGUAAGGUGCAAAAAAGGGGCAAAAAAUAUGUUAAUCUUGAAAUGGAAAGAUUUGGUAUUGUACUAUAAUAUAUAUUCACUUCCAUCCUUGAUUUGGUUAAACAAGAUUUUGGUGUGAAAAAGCCUUUCUCAAAUAAUAUUGAUAUCAGAGUCACAUAUCAUUCAUCCGAUCGUGAUAAUGUAUAUACUGACAAUAAUAUAUAUAAAAUUUACUCGUACUUUGGGUUUGUUUGGGUUGCUUCAUAUUUUCCCAAUUUUAUUUGCUUACAUCAUCUUUACAAUUUCCAAUACACCUUUUUAUCUUCCCAAUAUCUUUUUAUCUCGCAUACAUCACAUCACAAAAAGUGCUACAGUAAAAAUAUCUCAAAUAAUCCCAAAUAACUUACAAUCCAAACAGACCCUUAAUUGCUUCAUUUUGAUUUUGUAUUUUACUUCCGUAUAUAAACAAUUUAUAGCUUGAGGGCUAAGUUAAUGAUCAAAGCAGAUUCUUUGAAUUUCUUCUCACUUGACAAUCUAAUCUUCUAAACAAUACCGAGUAAAAGUUUUGAUAUCUUGGAUGAAAUUGCCUUUUUAAAGUAAACAAUUGAAGAAGUGCAUGAACUUCUAUUAAAUGUAAGCCUUCCUUAAAAAUUUUCAUAAUUACUUAGUAGUGUUUUCGGUCAAAUGACGAUGUCAAAAUCUAAUCGGCUAUGCUUUUGGCCCAGUAACUGGUCUCCUAGGCGCUAGUUAACACUUUUUGACUGUGAUGGUUCCCAAAAGUGCACCAUACCAUAUGACCUUGACAACGUUGAAAAAGGGUUUAUUUUCUUGGUUUUGGGGGUCUAAAGUAGAAGCCCUAGAAUUCUAAAGCGUUAGCUGUUAAGUAGUAGACUAGUAGUUGUUUACAACUAGCAUCUCUUUCCACUGGCUGACAAAAUUGUCCACCGCCAUCUUCCAAAUGAACAUGUUGAAGGGUACUCGAAGCAAAGCAAAAGCAACAAAACAGAGGAGCAUGUGAAAAUAAUUCAAGAACCAUAUCAUUAUUAUUAGUAUAAUAAAUAACAGUAAUCUAUCACCAUCCAAGCAGGCAAAUGAUUAACACAAUUGGCAAAUGUGGGCCACUUGAACAAGAAGACAAGAGCCCCACGUGAAUGGACUGGUGGUUGGCGUCUCUUCCUCGGGACCGUUAGAUCCUGGGGUCGAAUCUCCGCAACAACAUCGGCUUCUCCGUGCUGUUAUCAUGCUAGGUCUAAGUUGGGGCGUUGGACCGGGGCCGAAGUGGGAUUAGUCGGACCGCCUUUAUGGACUUGACCCGGACACCCACUCCGUCGACAAAAAAAAAAAAAAAAAAAA